rnacentral:rRNA from 2 species
AGCCCUUCGGGGUGGAUUAGUGGCGAACGGGUGAGUAACACGUGGGCAAUCUGCCCUUCACUCUGGGACAAGCCCUGGAAACGGGGUCUAAUACCGGAUACGAGGUUCGCAGGCAUCUGUGAACCUGGAAAGCUCCGGCGGUGAAGGAUGAGCCCGCGGCCUAUCAGCUUGUUGGUGAGGUAAUGGCUCACCAAGGCGACGACGGGUAGCCGGCCUGAGAGGGCGACCGGCCACACUGGGACUGAGACACGGCCCAGACUCCUACGGGAGGCAGCAGUGGGGAAUAUUGCACAAUGGGCGAAAGCCUGAUGCAGCGACGCCGCGUGAGGGAUGACGGCCUUCGGGUUGUAAACCUCUUUCAGCAGGGAAGAAGCGCAAGUGACGGUACCUGCAGAAGAAGCGCCGGCUAACUACGUGCCAGCAGCCGCGGUAAUACGUAGGGCGCAAGCGUUGUCCGGAAUUAUUGGGCGUAAAGAGCUCGUAGGCGGCUUGUCACGUCGAUUGUGAAAGCCCGAGGCUUAACCUCGGGUCUGCAGUCGAUACGGGCUAGCUAGAGUGUGGUAGGGGAGAUCGGAAUUCCUGGUGUAGCGGUGAAAUGCGCAGAUAUCAGGAGGAACACCGGUGGCGAAGGCGGAUCUCUGGGCCAUUACUGACGCUGAGGAGCGAAAGCGUGGGGAGCGAACAGGAUUAGAUACCCUGGUAGUCCACGCCGUAAACGGUGGGAACUAGGUGUUGGCGACAUUCCACGUCGUCGGUGCCGCAGCUAACGCAUUAAGUUCCCCGCCUGGGGAGUACGGCCGCA